rnacentral:rRNA from 1 species
AACGAACGCUGGCGGUAGGCUUAACACAUGCAAGUCGAGCGCCCCGCAAGGGGAGCGGCAGACGGGUGAGUAACGCGUGGGACUCUACCCAUCUCUACGGAAUAACGCAUGGAAACGUGUGCUAAUACCGUAUACGUCCUUCGGGAGAAAGAUUUAUCGGAGAUGGAUGAGCCCGCGUUGGGUUAGCUAGUUGGUGGGGUAAAGGCCUACCAAGGCGACGAUCCAUAGCUGGUCUGAGAGGAUGAUCAGCCACACUGGGACUGAGACACGGCCCAGACUCCUACGGGAGGCAGCAGUGGGGAAUAUUGGACAAUGGGCGCAAGCCUGAUCCAGCCAUGCCGCGUGAGUGAUGAAGGCCCUAGGGUUGUAAAGCUCUUUCACCGGUGAAGAUAAUGACGGUAACCGGAGAAGAAGCCCCGGCUAACUUCGUGCCAGCCGCCGCGGUAACAC